GCGCAGCGGCCGCGCCCUGUGGCAUCGAAAGAACAGCCGUGGCGGCCCCAGAUGCGGCCGGACCAUGCGGUGGGGAGUUGGAGAGUAUAAGCCUUGUUUGGUGGCAGCUUGAAGCCACCACGGGCAAGAAUGGGCUUACCAGCACUAGGUUGGAUGCCUGGCCAAACAGGGUGUCUGCACUUGUUGUACAGUGUCAUUUUUGUGGCUGAGACCUCUACUGGAUUGUGCCAUUUUCAGCACAAGAAGAAAUUCACAAUAAGUUAUUCAAACGUAUUUAAAAAACAAAAAGUUACAUAAUACUAUUUUUAAGCUCACAAAUAAAAAAAAUUGUUACACGUGAGUCGUUUACUGAUAAGUUGGAUAAUAUAAACUGAAUCUGAUCUGAUCUACACUUAAUGAGGCGUGUUGAUGACAAAAUUUAAAGUAACUAUAAUCUGAUCUGCACGUGACUUGGCAUCUCAUAGACGAGAUUUAAGUAAAUACAUUUGACCCUUUUCUAAAGCCUUAAGCUUUUGUUAUUGGUCAUCAGCAUUGAAACAUUCACAAAAGAGGAAAUAAACUACAAUGUAGAAAGAAGAAGAUUACCUGAAAUCUGGACAAUGAUGAAGGAGAGUAGUAGCAAAGAAAUAAAAGGUCUGAGAAGGAUUUCCAUGGCUGAAAAACUUCAAGUUGAUGAGGAGAACACUCAAUUUAUUUCCCUCUGUGUAGUGAGUUUGAUGGGCUUUUAUAGAUAAAAAUCCAAUAGGGUUACUACUUACUGGACUUUCUCGUCAAUUGGUAAAGUUAACUCGUUCGUACUACAGUGAAUAAAUACGGCUGGCAAGUGGGCCUUAUCAAAUGAAUGAUGUUCAUGUAUAUUCUUAUGAAUCAUUAACUUAUAUGUACAAUAUUUGUAGACAUUAAUGUUAGUAGACAAUAUUCUACUUGACAUUAUUAUAUGACUAAUUCUAUUUAAUUUCGUUGGAGUUAUAAUUUCAGUUUAAGUGAGCAUUAAAUGAUAUGCAAAAUUAAAUAAGUCAUUUAAUUUCACAUUUCAUUCAACAUAUUAUCUAGCGCCACCUAGACUGAGUUGUAACCCCAGUGAGACUGCAUAACAUUAUUCUUAUCGUAUUUAUCCAUUUAAAAAUUAAUUAUUUUUUACAUCACAUGCUUGAAUUUUGACACUAGCUUUAUUCUAUUUUUCUUUCUUAUCCCAACUUAGAGGUUAUAAUCCGGGACUUUGAACCAACUCGCCUGCCUUCAGUGUUUUUUCCCUUUUUUUUUGGUGAAGUACAGGCCGGCAUGAACCAUGAACUCGACACAACCCAGGUGCCUGCCAGACAUUUACCGGCAUUAAACAGAAUCGUUUGAUUAAUUUUUUUUUUAAAAUUGGUAAUUGGUAAUUUUGAAUGACUCGACUCGUUGGACUCAAGGACUACUCAGCUCAUGAGGCCACAGGCCAAGGACCAAUCGAUCCGAAGAUUUGGAUAAGAGCUCGGCUCCACAUUCAUUAUCACUCUAAUGUCACAUAAAUUAAAUAGCAUUACUCCAAUUUUACUACUACUAUUAUGAAGUACAAAUAUGUAAUCACAACCAAUAAGUAACGAAAAUCAUUAAAUGUUCAGAUAUUAAUACAGUAUACAGCGAUCCAUAAUGCUAAUUAAUUAGAUAGAGGAUUUUCUAGUGAUGAGGACAAAAUGUGACCAAAUAGCUUCCGCCAGUGCAAGUGGCAAUGCUGGUAGGAUCAUCAUAGGCAUAAGAAUAAGCCUUGGGACAAGCCGUCUUGAAAAUUCUUGAAUAUGCAGUUGGCUUACAAGAUUGUGGGUUCCCGAAAUUUCCAGUGCAACAAUAUCUUGGUGAAUUGAAUGCAGAACAAGCACUCUUGCAAGCUACCACUCUCUUCUUGUCGUGAGAUCGAACCUGAAGCCCCGCCGGACACAUCAUGUUCAGGUCACUCACGCACCCGGCAUAGCUACAUUUCCCUGCCAGUACAUAUAUAUUCUCUCAAUUUCAGCUUUCGAAACAAAUUUAACAUUAGAAAUAUCAAUACUAUACCUGAGCCUCGGAAGGGUCUGAUGGCAAUAGCAAGAUUGUACCCAUCAACAAGGCUGACAUCGUAGAAAUCCUGGUCAUUGCCAAGUGUGAUCUCAGCAAGGGUGGCUGGAGGGGCCCCGCCAAUACCAUUACAGAAGAGAGCACCACCACAAUCCCCGGUGGCGCAGCGGCCGCGCCCUGUGGCAUCGAAAGAACAGCCGUGGCGGCCCCAGAUGCGGCCGGACCAUGCGGUGGGGAGUUGGAGAGUAUAAGCCUUGUUUGGUGGCAGCUUGAAGCCACCACGGGCAAGAAUGGGCUUACCAGCACUAGGUUGGAUGCCUGGCCAAACAGGGUGUCUGCACUUGUUGUACAGUGUCAUUUUUGUGGCUGAGACCUCUACUGGAUUGUGCCAUUUUCAGCACAAGAAGAA
rnacentral:lncRNA from 1 species